UACAGAGGGUGCAAGCGUUAAUCGGAAUUACUGGGCGUAAAGCGCACGUAGGUGGCUGGGUAAGUUGGAUGUGAAAUCCCCGGGCUUAACUUGGGAAUUGCAUUCAAGACUGCCCUGCUAGAGUGUGGAAGAGGGAAGCGGAAUUCCAGGUGUAGCGGUGAAAUGCGUAGAUAUCUGGAGGAACAUCAGUGGCGAAGGCGGCUUCCUGGUCCAACACUGACACUGAGGUGCGAAAGCGUGGGGAGCAAACAGG
rnacentral:rRNA from 1 species